rnacentral:rRNA from 1 species
AUUGAACGCUGGCGGCAGGCCUAACACAUGCAAGUCGAGCGGAGCGGCGGACGGGCGAGUAAGUCCUAGGAAUCUGACUGGCAGUGGGGGAGAACGUCCGGAUACGGGCGCUAAUACCUCAUACUAGCAGUUGAGCCUAGGUGGGUUUUGCUCGUUGGUGGGGUAAAGGACUACCAAGGCGACGAUCCGUAACUGGGCUGAGAGGAUGAUCAGUCAAACUGGAACGUAGACACGGUCCAGACUCCUACGGGAGGCAGCAGUGGGGAAUAUUGGACAAUGGGCGAAAGCCUGAUCCAGCCAUGCCGCGGGUGUGAAGAAGGUCUUCGGAUUGUAAAGCACUUUAAGUUGGGAGGCGUUACCCACAGAAUAAGCACCGGCUAACUUCGUGCCAGCCGCCGCGGUAAUAC